GGACUACUAGGGUUUCUAAUCCUGUUUGCUACCCACGCUUUCGCGCCUCAGCGUCAGAUGGUGCCCAGUGUGCUGCCUUCGCCAUGGGUGUUCCUCCUGAUAUCAACGCAUUUCACCGCUACUCCAGGAAUUCCACACACCUCUGCACCCCUCCAGUCUGGCAGUAUGAAAAGCAAUUUCCGGGUUGAGCCCUGGAGAUUUCACUUCUCACUUACUAGACCGCCUACGCGCUCUUUACGCCCAGUAAAUCCGGACAACGCUCGGACCCUACGUCUUACCGCGGCGGCUGGCAC
rnacentral:rRNA from 1 species